UAUUAAUAUUCAUUACAGACAUAUGUAUGUAUACACUUGAUAUUUUCAUAGAUGUAAGAGAGAGUGGGGUUAGUUGACGUUCUAACAUUUCUAGUUAGUCUGUCAUGUUGUUUGUGAUGUAUUAUUGCUUGAAUUCAAAGAUACUAAAGUGGUCUCAUGCUUUUUGAGACAAGGAAAAUAUUAAAAUAAUACGAAGCCUAGAAGGGGAUAAAAAUCCCAUAUAUUAAUACCUACUUGGGAUAUAACUUUAAUUCUGAACUUCAACUAUUCUAAUUAAUAGAUUACAGACUAAUCUAAUAUUCUUAGGCAAAAGCUGUUGAUGUGGAUAUUCCGUCUCUCCAUCAUUGUUUGUGGCUGCAAUGGAACAAUUUAGUAGUAUACUUAUACGGAAAUUUGGAAAUUUUGCUGUUUUUUAGGAAGUAAAAGGCCUUACUUCAUAAAUUGCCAUAAUAUUAUACUUGAACAAGUUUGAAUUAAAUAAUAUUUAUUGAAA
rnacentral:lncRNA from 1 species